rnacentral:rRNA from 1 species
UACGUAGGGGGCAAGCGUUGUCCGGAAUCAUUGGGCGUAAAGCGCGUGUAGGCGGUUCGGUAAGUCUGCUGUGAAAGUCCAGGGCUCAACCCUGGGAUGCCGGUGGAUACUGUCGGACUAGAGUACGGAAGAGGCGAGUGGAAUUCCCGGUGUAGCGGUGAAAUGCGCAGAUAUCGGGAGGAACACCAAUUGCGAAGGCAGCUCGCUGGGACGGUACUGACGCUGAGGCGCGAAGGCUAGGGAGCGAACGGG